AAAGACCUUAUGCUUUUGGAGCGGCCGAUGUCUGAUUAGCUAGUUGGUAAGGUAAAGGCUUACCAAGGCGACGAUCAGUAGUUGGUCUGAGAGGACGACCAGCCACACUGGGACUGAGACACGGCCCAGACUCCUACGGGAGGCAGCAGUGGGGAAUUUUGGACAAUGGGCGAAAGCCUGAUCCAGCAAUGCCGCGUGAGUGAAGAGGGCCUUCGGGUUGUAAAGCUCUUUCAGUCGAGAAGAAAAGAUUGUGACUAAUAAUCAUAAUUUAUGACGGUAUCGACAGAAGAAGCACCGGCUAACUACGUGCCAGCAGCCGCGGUAAUACGUAGGGUGCGAGCGUUAAUCGGAAUUACUGGGCGUAAAGGGUGCGCAGGCGGUUCUGCAAGUCAGAUGUGAAAUCCCCGGGCUUAACCUGGGAACU
rnacentral:rRNA from 1 species